rnacentral:rRNA from 1 species
UAAGUAAGUGGUGGAAGAUGAACCAAAUGGGUUCCCUUAAGUAGUUGCGAAUGAACAAGGGGAUGCUCAGCUUGAAAAAUGGGGCCCUGGGCUUUUUGUUGUAAUUGUCAAAUGUGUUGCCAAUGGAGGUGCAGGUGAAAGCCUAUUGAAAGAAAGCGUCAAAGAGGGUGAGGUUCCUGUCUGUCAUUUGCAAUCCUCCGUGCACGGUGCAUAUUUGAUGAGUCACACUCCUUGGCAUUGGAAUGCAAAGUGGGUGGUAAAUUCCAUGGAAAGGAACAUAUAAAGUUGAGACUGAUAGCACACAAGUACCAUGCGGGAAAUAUGAAAAGGACUUUGAAAAGGGGAUUAAAAGAGUCUGCAUUUGCUGAACGGAAAGCAAACGGAAUAAUUAGGUCUUGGCAAGAUUGUUGCAUGUGCAUGCUCCGGUCAAGCAAACAUGUGGAUGUAAUGGGUCUUUCCUUGCAAGGUCAGCAUUCAUUUCUGCUAAUCAUCACCCUGGCGUCUGAAUGGUACUGCGCCUGUGGGCUGUGGAAAAUAUGCGGUUGCAAUGAUUUGUGGUUUGAUGCAUGCGCAGGGUGCUUGGCUAGUGCAUUCAUGAUGAUAAGGUAAGUUAUGUUUCCUUAUGCACAAGCAUGCCUCUGCGUAUCUGUGCUGGCAAAACAAUUCUGCUUGACCCGUCUUGAAACACGGACCAAGGAGUCUAGCAGGUGUGCAAGUUUUUAGGUGGUCAAACUUCAACGCGGAAUGAAAGUGAUGGCUGGGAUGUGUGCACCAGCAACCGACCGAUUGGAAGACAAAGGUUUGAGUUUGAGCACACCUCUUAGGACCCGAAAGAUGGUGAACUAUGCCUGAACAGAACGAAGUCAGAGGAAACUCUGAUGGAAGUUCGUAGCGAUA